CCAAGGGCUCUCCUCAGCUGGUUUGAGCUUUGGGUUCGCUGAAAUAAGGAAAUCUUUCCCCAAAGCUACAAUAUGAAGGAUAUGGAAAAUAGGCCCCAAGGAACUUCCCUUACAGUUCCCCCACCUGCCCCGCCCCACCCUAAAUGAGCCCAACAUCAAAACUCCUCUCCUGACCUGGCCCUGCCCAUCAAAAGGGACCAUCAAAAGUAACUAACUCUUCCCGUGACCCCACUCUGCUAAGGUCCCAUAAAACCCAGACCCUUUUGGUGACCUGCUGCCAUUUUCCCACCCAAAGAUGUGCCCCUCUGGUGCUGAAUAAAGCAUCUCUGGUCCAUGA